UACGGAGGGUGCGAGCGUUGUCCGGAAUCACUGGGCGUAAAGGGCGCGUAGGCGGCCUGAUAAGUAGGGGGUGAAAUCCUGCGGCUUAACCGCAGGGCUGCCUUCUAAACUGUCGGGCUUGAGCACAGUAGAGGCAGGUGGAAUUCCCGGUGUAGCGGUGGAAUGCGUAGAGAUCGGGAAGAACAUCAGUGGCGAAGGCGGCCUGCUGGGCUGUUGCUGACGCUGAGGCGCGACAGCGUGGGGAGCAAACAGG
rnacentral:rRNA from 1 species